UUGUGCUAGCUAAACAGCUGACCCCUAUUCUUUCUCCUGCUUUUUAUCCUCUUUCCCAGAUUGAACACACUGGCAUUACUUUGUUGUAGAAAGAGAAGACUAAAAGCCUUUUGAACUACAUGCUGACAGGAGUGAGCUGACAACACAGUGAACUAGAUCUGCUGCCAGGGGUGCCAGAUGAGCAAGAAAACCCACAAAAUUCAAGGCCUCAGAAGCUGAAUGGGCCACUCAUCAAGGAGGAGCUGGAAAAAGCCUUGAGGGAGUCCAGAAAUUGAAGCUCUCAUCCUGGCUCCUUCAUUCAGUAGCUCUAUGACCACAGGCAAAUCACUUAGCCACUGAAGUUCAGUUUCGUCAUUGGUAAAAUGUAAGAAAAAGGUUUAUCUUCACUUAGAGCUUGGAGUUAUCAUUCAUUAAUAAACAUAUCCCCACAUUCCCACCAGAGGUGAGGAAGAAUUGGGCUGUUUACAACCUAAAGAUAGGGAUACCAUAUCAUUACAAACAAGGCUGAAUGUGAAAAAGAUGUCUGGAACUUGGCAGCCAUAGUGGACCAUGAGGUGAUGUGCUAAGAAUGGUGGAGCAGCAAGAUAGAAGGAGUUGGGUCCCUGACUCCUGGAACCACCAUCCCAACCCUGGGUUAUCUUCUGUUGGACCUCUUUGCCAUAAGAGAGAAAUGAUUUAUAUCUUCUUUAGGCUACUGUUAUUUUAGUUUUCUUGUCACACGUAAACUUAGCCCUAACUGAUAAAAUAAUCAUCUAUUCAAGACCCUGUGCUAAAUGCUGCACCUGCUGUAAAGAUAUAAAGGUUUUAGAUACACAAAGAAUUGAGCAGGAAGGCUCUGUCUUGAAGGAAAUGCUAAGAAAGGUUUGGCCUGGUAGGGCUAUGUGGAUAUGAAGAGGAUUUUAUGAGAUGAGACCAGGGAAUAUUAUGGAAGGAGCUUAAAUGCCAGGCUAAUGACAUUGGACUUGACCCAGUGAUGGGCAAACAGAGCAAGUAAGCUUGCCUCCAAUUUGCGAAUGAAGAAACCCAGGCCUUAUCAGAUUACAGGACUUGUUCAAGGACACCCAGCUGGUAAGCUGCAGAGCCAGAGCCAAUCUCAAUUCUACUGACAUUUGCACCAGUGCCAUCCCAUAGUUCUGGUGUCCUUGACGGAAUCUGGGGGAAAAGAGUAGGAAUGGAGAUUUUGCACUUUGGCAUGGCCAGGGAACUAGACUGUGCCCCUCUUCAUACCCCCACACCGUUAAGAGGAAGCUUUGGAGGGUUGCUAGAAGUUUAGGAUCAGACCUACCUGGAAGUCAGAGGACCUUCUCGGCUUCCUGCUUAACCACCCACAUGAGGCUACAGUGGCCAAGGUGCUGCGUUGCUAUGUGGUAAGUUCUCAUGUGGCAGGCACAGUGCUGGGCACUCUGU